AGUGCUUUUAUCAGAUGGAGAUAAUAUUGAUAAUGCCAUUGAGCUAUUUCGGACCAUUUUGCCUUCACUUGUUCAUGGAAAUUUACAAAACCAUCCUCAACAUUUUAACCAUACACUUUUGAGUUUUAUGAAAGCAAAUCACUGCUCCUCCCUUUACUGCAUUCGGGAUACAUGACAAGCAGAAAUUGAUGAAAAAAGGACAAAUCGAAGCUCCGAUAAGCCGAUUUAUAGAUGAGAGUCAGCACCUCUAUCAAAAGAAUCAUUUUUCCGCCCAAGAAUCAUUCAUCUCCACAAAAAGACCAACAAAAAACUAUCCGACCUUCAAAUCCAUGAGCUUCUUCAAAAAAUCUAUCUUUAAGAUGGAGUACGAGGGAUCUCAAUGAGGCUGUUACUGUGAACGCAUGGUAACCAUUUGAUACUGAAAGUUGCAUUUUUUGUAAUCUAUCCAUGUGUGAUGAGCUUCUUCAACAAAUCGAGCUUUAAGAUGGA
rnacentral:lncRNA from 1 species